UGGUGCCCAGUAAGUGGGGCUCAAGUACGGGGGCUUCAGUGAAGAACACCGUGGUGUUCAGCUGAUUUUGGAUGGAAGACGUCUUGAAUGGGAGCCUGCUGCCUCAACUAGAAAUCCUACUGAGUCUUCAGUGAUCAUGGGAGAGGCACUUAGUAACCAGGAACUCUUUGUGGAAGGUUUGAAAAAGGCUUUGAAGGCACGAGAGAUAAAGGUUAAAAUACAUGACUUACUUGCAUUUUUUUGAUUUUGUAAAAGAGAUUUGUCCAC
rfam:Mus musculus chromosome 15, GRC primary reference assembly.